GUUAACUCUAUUAAACGGACAACCUCUGAAAUAACCUCUUGCACUUAUCGAUUAUACGAAAUAAUGGAAACACUGCAAAAAUCAUGUCGAGAAAAAAAGAUCCACGUAAUACUCAUCAUGUCAUGACUUGCAAUUAACCCUCCUCGUGGACAAAUUUGACAAUAGUUUGCAGCAUAUAAGAGCUAAUACGCUUACUUUGCAUUGCGCAUAAUGGCUGACGAAAGACCUAGCAAUAAGUAACGCUACCAAAAAUCGUUGUACGUACAACAUAGAAUGAAGAUAAGCCGAUUCGUUUAAUGUCUGAAACUACUUAUAAACUCAACCCGGUCAAUAAUUCAUCGCUUUUACAUUAUUUGUAAUUGAACAAACGUACGUCAAAACCUUGUCAAGUGUCAAACGUCAAAAUGUGAAUAUAUAAAGGAAUCCUCACAUGCAGAUCGCACACUAGUCUGCCCGACGUCGUGGAGAGUCAAGUACUUAUGCGGAUUGAUAAAGUUGUGGAAUCGUAUCCAAUUUAUAACAUGACGCUCACGAAGGAAAGCCUGAAUUAUACCGAAGCUAAGGCUCAGGGUAGACGUCAACCUGCAGACGCGCAUUGGCAAGAAGGAUUAAAACCGAAACCAAACAUGAGAAGGAUUUCCAACUCGGACAUGGCUUUUUUGCAAUCUGUCACCACCACAAUUUCGGAAAGGAGGAGAAAGCCGACGAUAGAUUUGAGUGACGACUUCUGAACAUCUUGGAUUUUCUUAUUUAAUUUUGAAACUAUUUGCCAUGUAUUUUUUUAUACCUUUAAUGUUUUUACCGGUUAAAUCCAGAAAAUUUUUGUUCGUGAUUUUGAAGUUAUAAAAUAAAUUGUCAAGUUUACAAACUCAC